GUAUGAGUGACAGGAAGUGAUGUAGAAAUAUAAACAGAACGGUUUAUGUGAAAGGAGACGUCAUAAUAGUAGAGAGGAGAAAUUGUGGGAACUGACAGCAGAGGAGAGAUCAGAGUCCUGUAUGGAUCACAUGAUCUCAUCAAUGAGGAUGGAAGCGGACCUGAGUCACAUGACUGAGGAGAUAUUGAACCUCGCCCUGGAGAUCAUCUACCUGCUGACUGGAGAGAGUUUUCCUCCAGUGACGUUUGGUGACCAUUUAACAUUCACAGUGCCUUUACCUAAUUCCCUGAAACCCAAAAGAAACAGUGGCAAGAAGAUUCUAGAAGUCACUAAGAGGAUUACUGAUCUGCUGACAGG